rnacentral:rRNA from 1 species
AUUGAACGCUGGCGGCAUGCCUUACACAUGCAAGUCGAACGGCAGCACGGGGGCAACCCUGGUGGCGAGUGGCGAACGGGUGAGUAAUACAUCGGAACGUACCCAGUAGUGGGGGAUAGCCCGGCGAAAGCCGGAUUAAUACCGCAUACGACCUACGGGUGAAAGCGGGGGAUCGCAAGACCUCGUGCUGCCGGAGCGGCCGAUGUCAGAUUAGGUUGUUGGUGGGGUAAAAGCCUACCAAGCCGACGAUCUGUAGCUGGUCUGAGAGGACGACCAGCCACACUGGGACUGAGACACGGCCCAGACUCCUACGGGAGGCAGCAGUGGGGAAUUUUGGACAAUGGGCGCAAGCCUGAUCCAGCCAUGCCGCGUGCGGGAAGAAGGCCUCGGUUGUAAG